GGGGGGGAGUACAGUGGCGCACGGGGUGAGUAACGCGUGGGUAAUCUACCUCGGUCCCGGGGGAUAACGCACCGAAAGGUGCGCUAAUACCGCAUAACCCGGCGAAUCCUUGGAUUUUGUCGGCAAAGGUGGCCUCUACAUGUAAGCUACCGGAUAGAGAUGAGCCCCGCGUCCCAUUAGCUAGUUGGUAGGGUAAAGGCCUACCAAGGCGACGAUGGGUAGCUGGUCUGAGAGGACGAUCAGCCACACUGGAACUGGAACACGGUCCAGACUCCUACGGGAGGCAGCAGUGAGGAAUAUUGCGCAAUGGGGGAAACCCUGACGCAGCGAUGCCGCGUGGGUGAAGAAGGCCUUCGGGUCGUAAAGCCCUGUCAGGCGGGAAGAAUAGCCUGGGGACGAAUAAUCCUCAGGCAUGACGGUACCGCUGAAGGAAGCACCGGCUAACUCCGUGCCAGCAGCCGCGGUAA
rnacentral:rRNA from 1 species